rnacentral:lncRNA from 1 species
CAGAAACUGAACUUACAUAAAACAACAAGAACACUUUUGCCACUAAAAUGUGAUUUAAAAAGAUACUGUGAAAGGAGGUAAGAAGCAUUAGGCAGUGCAACUUCAGAAAACAGGUGUCUUCCUGGAAUUAAAGAAUAUACCCGUGAACACUUUAGUUAAAAGUGAUCAUUUAUGUUCAUUCUUGGGUGGCAAAAAGUUUAACUCAUUUGGUUCUCACUGAGUAUGUGCUGAUGUUCUAUGAUGAGGAGCAGAGAUACCUGACUUGUGGUUUAUGUGUAUUUCUUGCCCCAUGAUUCCUCAUGUAAGGUUCUUGAUCUGCUCCAAUGCAGGUCAAGAAAAGCUCCAGCUUUUUUUUGUAGAACUGUUCAGGAUGGAGUAGAUGUUCUCCAUUGCUUUUCAGGUUUCAGUUCCCUCCUGCGUAUCCCUGGGACCCCCCAGCCCAUGAAGAGUCUCCAGACAGGAGUGUACCUCUGGAGAACAGGAUUUCUGUACCACGGUGUGGAUAAACACCAGCAGAAGGAGGACAGGUUUCGUGUUUAUAGAACGAAGAAGGACAUCUUGUAAAGGCGCCUUUUUAUGUGUGGAGAGACCAUAAAAAUGAGACAGGAAGUAGAUGGCUCUUCCAGCCAGUAGACUCCAUCACUGAAACUUAAGACCUAAUUAGAUCCUUCAAAGCACCUUGGAAGCAAUAAACCACAAAGGUACUUAAGCUGACGACUCA